rnacentral:lncRNA from 1 species
UUUGGUGUGUUCUCUUGAUCAGAUUGAGGUUCAAUCAGAGAAGCAAACCACAAAACCACACAAGGAUUUGUUCCAGGGAUUUGACCCUUUUCACUUUUGGAAGAUGGUGAAGCGGUCUCUCUAAGGCUGUGGUGUUCAGGUCUUAUGCUGGAGCUGGAAGUGCAAAGAGGUGACAGCAGGCGGCAGAAAACGGGUAAACUGGCAGAGAACAAGAAUUAUUUGUAACCCAAAGUCAUGAUCUAGAGUCCACAGUGGCAAACUGAAAUCCAUGUCAGUCCUUGCUGCCUCUGACCAUGGUGGAAUAAUUGUCCUGCGGAAACAAGGCCCCUUUUCUCAGAGCUCAACGCAUGCACCUGACCCAGGAGUCAGAGACGCUGAAGGAGAGUCCUGGAGAAGCUGGGGCAGGCUCAGAUGCUGUCUCAUGCCAGCGAGGUUGAAACCACCAAGAGUAACUAACGUGCCACCAGGAAGCUGUCUGAUCCUUCUGGAGAAUGAUGUCAAAGCAAGGAUUCAGUGUUGCUUCUGCUAUUGGGAGAUUUGACACUUUGCCAUGACUUAUCCAGAUCAGCCAUGAAGAGUAUAAGUCCCUGUUGCUGAGACCAUGCAUAGCUUUCAUCUCUGCCACCAUGACCACUUGAUUCAGGAGCCCAUUGAUGACGAUAAGUGAUCCUGGGCAAAGAGGCUAACUGAUAUCCACAGAACAGGUCAACCCAUCUGCCUGAUUAUUAAAAUUCUCCUCUGAUGAGGCCACUCUGAUGAACCACAGUUUGCUGGUCCGUUCACCUAAUGAAGGACAUCUUGGUUGUUCCUAAGUUUUGGCAAUUAUGAAUAAAGCUGCUAUAAACAU